GGGGCGUAGUUCAAUUUGGUAGAGCACCGGUCUCCAAAACCGGGAGUUGGGAGUUCAAACCUCUCCGCCCCUG
rnacentral:tRNA from 1 species